rnacentral:rRNA from 1 species
CCUACGGGUGGCAGCAGUCGAGAAUCAUUCACAAUGGGGGAAACCCUGAUGGUGCGACGCCGCGUGGGGGAAUGAAGGUCUUCGGAUUGUAAACCCCUGUCAUGUGGGAGCAAAUUAAAAAGAUAGUACCACAAGAGGAAGCGACGGCUAACUCUGUGCCAGCAGCCGCGAUAAUACAGAGGUCUCCAGCGUUGUUCGGAAUGACUGGGCGUAAAGCGUGCGUAGGCGGUUUCGUAAGUAGUGAGUGAAAGGCGGGGGCUCAACCGGCGGACGGCACAUGAUACUGCGAUACUAGAGUAAUGGAGGGGUAACCGGAAUUCUCGGUGUAGCAGUGAAAGGCGUAGAUAUCGAGAGGAACACUCGUGGCGAAGGCGGGUUCCUGGACAUUAACUGACGCUGAGGCACGAAGGCCAGGGGAGCGAAAGGGAUUAGAUACCCCUGUAGUC